AGUGAACGCUGGCGGCAGGCCUAACACAUGCAAGUCGAACGGCAGCAGAGCAAGUGCUUCUGCCUACGGGCGGAGAGGGGCGGAAGGGAGCGGAACAUAUCCAUAGGUGCGGGAUAGCGCGGCGAAACGUGGGCUAACAUACCCUAUUAUCGCAGACGGACAACGGGUGAAAGCAGCGGAACUUCGGACCUCGCGCGAUUGAAGGGGCCGAUGUCGGAUUAGCUAGUUGGCGGGGUAAAGGCCCACCAAGGCGACGAUCCGUAGCUGGUCUGAGAGGAUGAUCAGUCACACUGGAACUGAGACACGGUCCAGACUCCUACGGGAGGCAGCAGUGGGGAAUAUUGGACAAUGGGCGCAAGCCUGAUCCAGCCAUGCCGCGUGGGUGAAGAAGGCCUUCGGGUUGUAAAGCCCUUUUGGUGGGAACGAAAAGCAGUAGGUUAAUACCGCGCUGUUCUGACGGUACCCAAAGAAUAAGCACCGGCUAACUUCGUG
rnacentral:rRNA from 1 species